UCAAUAUCCCAACAGAUGCUUGCCAUAGCUAAUUUAGUGAACUAGUCACAUGUAAUUUCUAACUGACAAUAAAACUAGCUUUCAGAUAGAUAGUUCGGCUUACCGAAUCAAAUUUGCUGAAGUAUUCAAUAUUGUGCUUCUGUCCAGCCUUUGUUUUGGACGGCCAAAAAAUUAACAUUCUGAUGCUUGCUCGAAGCAUACCUUGAUAGGUUUUCCUUAGAGUAGGAUCAACCUGUUAGACCCAAGCACAACCUUGCUGAAAAUUCCUCUGUACUUUUAUUGAGAUAAUAGAAAAGAAUUACAAAACCCAGACUUUCGAGAGGUCUAGAACUCUCCUACUCCAAACUUUUUAGGGGUUUGGAAACACUCCACACACCCAACUGUACAGGGUGAACAAGUCAAUGUGACGACCCAUUUUGAUACCGAAGAUGAUAAUCAAUCUUCCCAAGUUCCAUCAGGACAAACAUCUUCCUUUAAGCCAUGUGGAGUUACUCGCAGCUUGACAACUACAACUAUAGCUAAGGCAUAAUCAACUGGAAAGUUGUCAGUGACUUUUAAUGCGAAGUGUCGUCAACCAAUUUGUACUAAUGCUGAGAAAUUUAAUAAUGAGAUUGGAUUCAUUAUUCGGAAUCAUGGUACAUUUCAUUAUAAAGAGUGGACAAUGGUCCCAGAAGAUGUGAGAGCUCCAUUGCGACACUAUCUUUUGGAACAUUUUGACAUCAACUUGAAUGAUGAGACAACUAAAAAAUGCAUUGAUGAGCAAAUGAGAAAAGCUUGGAAGGGUCAUUGUUGGUAAUUAACCAACUUAUGAAGAGUUAGUUGAACGACUUAAUGAUACAACUUCCCGCCUUAAUGCUACUAACAAACAACUUAGUGUAGUUGUGGAUAUACUUCGUCAUAACAAUUUGAUGGCACCACCUCCAACAGACCAAGCUUCAGAUGAAAAUUUAAGAGAGUCGCCAUCUAUUUCAAUUCGGGAGUCACAAGAUGAUUCUUAGUUUAUUUACAUUAAUUUACUAAGGAAUGAACUUUAUGAAGUUUUUUUUAUUUUGGUAGGGGUAACCUUAAAAUGAUAACUUUAUGACUUAUUUUAGUAUUGAACAAUAUAAAGAAU